UGUGUAGGCGGUUGCUUAAGUUUGGUGUGAAAUCUCCCGGCUCAACCGGGAGGGUGCGCCGAAUACUGAGUGACUCGAGUGCGGGAGAGGAGAGUGGAAUUCCUGGUGUAGCGGUGAAAUGCGUAGAUAUCAGGAGGAACACCGGUGGUGUAGACGGCUCUCUGGACCGUAACUGACGCUGAGACACGAAAGCGUGGGUGGCAAACAGGAUUAGAUACCCUGGUAGUCCACGCCCUAAACGAUGCAUAUUUGGUGUGGGCCGUUCAGUCGGUCCGUGCCGGAGCUAACGCGUUAAAUAUGCCGCCUGGGGAGUACAGUCGCAAGGCUGAA
rnacentral:rRNA from 1 species